GUUCAGGAGUGGCUGCCAUCUUAGCCGCGGGACUGAGGAGCUGCCGCCGCUGUUGCCGCCUCCUCCUCUUCCCCCCAGCCCGGUCCAUAGCCCAGUUGGUGGCAUGUCUGGCAGUAGUUCACGGUCAGGGUCUGUGGGGGGAUUGACCAUGAAAUCACAACUUCAGAUCAUUGUCAUCUCAGCAAAGCUUAAAGAAAAUAAAAAGAACUGGUUUGGACCAAGUCCUUAUGUGGAAGUCUCAGUAGAUGGACAGUCAAAGAAGACAGAAAAAUGCAGCAAUACCAACAGUCCCAAGUGGAAGCAGCCUCUUACUGUAAUUGUCACACCUGUCAGCAAAUUAAAUUUUCGUGUAUGGAGUCACCAGACAUUAAAAUCCGAUGUUUUACUGGGAAGUGCUGCUCUAGAUAUUCAUGAAACGUUAAAGUCAAAUAAUAUGAAACUUGAUGAAGUAAUUGUGACAUUACAACUCGUGGGUGACAAGGAGCCAACAGAAAUCAUAGGAGACUUGUCAGUUUGCCUUGAUGGACUACAAGUAGAUCCCGAGAUUCUAACGAAUGGCUAUGCCACAUGUUCAGAAGGUAGUUCACAGAGUGAUGAUUCCAGAACCAGGAAUGAUACAAGAUCAAAUACAGAUGGACCUGAAAAUGCUGAGGAAGCAGGACCCAGUGAAAAUAGGAAGGUCAAUGGCAAUAACUCUCCAUCACUCACAAAUGGAGGCUUUAAACCUCCUAGGCCUCCAAGACCUUCACGGCCACCUCCUCCCACUCCUCGUAGACCAGCAUCUGUCAAUGCUUCUCCAUCUGCACCUUCUGAGGCUCCUGUGUCUAGUACAGAGUCGUCACCAUCAACAAACAUGAGUGUAACUCCUGAGGGAGCAGCAGCACCUGCCACCGCGGCUUUAACGACACCCCCAGCUUCCAGACAAGUGCAGCCAGCGAAUUCUGCUUCUCAACAGCUCAGUACAGUCAAUCAAGGUCCUCUUCCACCGGGUUGGGAGCAGAGAGUGGACCAGCAUGGACGAGUCUACUAUGUAGAUCAUGUUGAAAAAAGAACAUCGUGGGAUAGACCAGAACCUCUUCCUCCUGGCUGGGAACGUCGAGUUGACAACAUGGGACGUGUUUAUUAUGUUGACCACUUCACAAGAACUACCACCUGGCAGCGGCCAACUUUGGAGUCAGUUAGAAACUAUGAGCAGUGGCAGCUACAACGAAGUCAACUCCAAGGAGCAAUGCAGCAGUUUAACCAGAGAUUCAUUUAUGGGAAUCAAGAUUUGUUUACUUCAUCUCAGAAUAAAGAAUUUGAUCCUCUUGGACCUCUGCCACCAGGAUGGGAGAAGAGAACAGACAACAAUGGCAGGGUGUAUUUUGUCAAUCACAACACACGCAUUACACAGUGGGAAGAUCCCAGAAGUCAAGGUCAGUUAAAUGAGAAGCCUUUACCGGAAGGCUGGGAAAUGAGAUUUACUGUGGAUGGAGUUCCAUAUUUUGUGGAUCACAAUAGGAGAACGACAACCUAUAUAGAUCCCCGAACGGGAAAAUCUGCUCUAGAUAAUGGACCCCAAAUAGCCUAUGUUAGGGAUUUCAAGGCAAAAGUUCACUAUUUCCGUUUCUGGUGUCAGCAAUUGGCUAUGCCACAGCACAUCAAGAUUACAGUGACAAGAAAAACUUUGUUUGAAGAUUCAUUUCAGCAGAUAAUGAGUUUCAAUCCCCAGGAUCUUCGAAGACGUUUGUGGGUGAUUUUUCCAGGAGAAGAAGGUUUAGAUUAUGGAGGUGUGGCAAGAGAAUGGUUCUUUCUUUUGUCACAUGAAGUGCUGAACCCAAUGUAUUGCCUGUUUGAAUAUGCAGGGAAGGAUAAUUACUGCUUGCAAAUAAACCCAGCUUCUUAUAUCAAUCCAGACCAUCUGAAAUACUUUCGUUUUAUUGGCAGGUUUAUUGCCAUGGCAUUAUUCCAUGGAAAAUUCAUAGAUACAGGCUUUUCUUUGCCAUUCUAUAAACGUAUCUUGAAUAAACCUGUUGGACUCAAGGACCUAGAAUCUAUUGAUCCAGAAUUUUACAAUUCUCUCAUCUGGGUUAAAGAAAACAAUAUCGAAGAAUGUGGUUUAGAGAUGUACUUCUCAGUUGAUAAGGAAAUUCUUGGUGAAAUUAAGAGUCAUGAACUGAAACCCAAUGGCAGUAAUAUUCUAGUAACAGAAGAAAAUAAAGAAGAAUACAUUAGAAUGGUAGCUGAAUGGAGAUUAUCUCGGGGUGUUGAAGAGCAGACACAAGCUUUCUUCGAAGGCUUCAAUGAAAUCCUCCCCCAGCAGUACCUGCAGUACUUUGAUGCUAAGGAACUAGAGGUACUUUUGUGUGGAAUGCAAGAGAUUGAUUUAAAUGACUGGCAGAGACAUGCCAUCUACCGACAUUAUACUAGGACAAGCAAACAAAUCAUGUGGUUUUGGCAGUUUGUGAAAGAAAUUGACAAUGAGAAGAGAAUGAGACUGUUGCAGUUUGUCACUGGCACUUGCAGGUUGCCGGUUGGGGGAUUCGCUGACCUCAUGGGGAGCAAUGGACCACAAAAGUUUUGCAUUGAAAAAGUUGGGAAAGAAAAUUGGUUACCUAGAAGUCAUACCUGUUUCAACCGCUUGGAUCUACCACCCUACAAGAGCUAUGAACAACUGAAGGAAAAACUGUUAUUUGCUAUUGAGGAAACAGAAGGAUUUGGACAAGAGUAACCUCUGAGAAUUUGCACCCCUGAAGGACAUGAAUUCAUUUGCAAUGUUUGUCCUUCACCUCUUCUGCUUGUUGCACAUCUUGUAAAUUGGACUCUGACUGUUUUAAAGAGUUAUUUGUGUGGAAUUUUUAAUCCAUGACCAGGACAUGCCCCCAGGAGAGUCAUAUGAAAGCCCCAGUAUGUGUGUUUCAGUUGAACAAACAAAAAUUAUAUCCUUUUAUAAUUAGCCAGUUAAUAAUUGGAAAUACCAUCAUAUGCUUUUAUUCAUUUCUAAUGAACCAAGGAGAUAAUACUUCUCUCUCUUAAUUUUGUCCUAUCUCAAUUUUGAUGUAUUUUUCCUUUUCUUUCUGAUAACUCUUAUGUUAAUGUCACCUCUUUUGUAAAAUCAGUAAA